AUUGAACGCUAGCGGGAUGCCUUACACAUGCAAGUCGAACGGCGUGGCGAACGGGUGAGUAAUGUAUCGGAACGUGCCCAGUAGCGGGGGAUAACUACGCGAAAGCGUAGCUAAUACCACAUACUAUUGGCGCGGCCGAUAGCGGAUUAGCUAGUUGGUGGGGUAACGGCUCACCAAGGCGACGAUGCGUAGCGGGUUUGAGAGGACGACCAGCCACACUGGGACUGAGACACGGCCCAGACUCCUACGGGAGGCAGCAGUGGGGAAUCUUGGACAAUGGGUGAAAGCCUGAUCCAGCCAUCCCGCGUGUGGGAUGAAGGCCUUCGGGUUGUAAAGCACUUUUGGCAGGGAAGCGGUACCUGAAGAAUAAGCACCGGCUAACUACGUGCCAGCAGCCGCGGUAAUUC
rnacentral:rRNA from 1 species